rnacentral:rRNA from 1 species
CCUACGGGAGGCAGCAGUGGGGAAUAUUGGACAAUGGGCGAAAGCCUGAUCCAGCCAUGCCGCGUGUGUGAAGAAGGUCUUCGGAUUGUAAAGCACUUUAAGCUGGGAGGAAGGGCAGUAAGUUAAUACCUUGCUGUUUUGACGUUACCAGCAGAAUAAGCACCGGCUAACUUCGUGCCAGCAGCCACGGUAAU